GAUGAACUCAUAUAUGUUUAUUGUUUGAACUUUGUAAGGAUGGUUUGGCUUCUCGACGAUGCCUAUGGCACACAACACCGGGCCUACAUGAUGCGCGAGAAGGAGAUGAAGCUUGAACCUCUGAAGAUUCGGUAUCAUGGGGUCUCUGGUCCUGCCAUGCCCUACGAUGAGUGGUACACACCCUACAUCCAGCAGGCAGGACUCCUCCCGUGGAUUCAGUUGGUCAGCCGGUCCACGCCGAACCUCAAAGCUCCACUGGUGUCCUCUAUUGUUGAUCGGUGGAGGCCGGAGACGCACAGUUUCUAUCUUCGAACUGGGGAGAUGACCAUGACGCUCGAGGAUGUCCCCUUGAUCACCGGUCUUCCUAUCGAUGGGAGGCCUCUUUGUAUGAGCACCGAUUCUGAUGGGUGGUGCCAGCAGAUGACUGCUCUUAUCGGUAAGGCUCCUACCGAGGCUAAGGCUAAUGUAGAGGAGGGAGAAGAGAAGAAGAACAAGAAGAAAAGGAAAGCAGCCGGAGCUGCUUUCACAUGGAUUCAAAGGAACUUUGCGCAUUGCCCUGGGGAUGCCACUGAUGAUGUGAUCCAGACACAUGCUCGUGUGUAUAUGUGGUACGUUGUCUCGGGGACUUUGUUUCCUGACUCCACAGGCAAGAACGCUCCAUGGAUGUGGCUGAAGGCGUUGACCGUCUUC
rnacentral:rRNA from 1 species